GGCGGCGUGCUUAACACAUGCAAGUCGAGCGGAAAGCCCCUUCGGGGUACUCGAGCGGCGAACGGGUGAGUAACACGUGAGCAACCUGCCCUAGGCUUUGGGAUAACCCCGGGAAACCGGGGCUAAUACCGAAUAGGACCGCUGGUCGCAUGACUGGCGGUGGAAAGUUUUUCGGCCUGGGAUGGGCUCGCGGCCUAUCAGCUUGUUGGUGGGGUGAUGGCCUACCAAGGCGACGACGGGUAGCCGGCCUGAGAGGGCGACCGGCCACACUGGGACUGAGACACGGGCCAGACUCCUACGGGAGGCAGCAGUGGGGAAUAUUGCACAAUGGGCGGAAGCCUGAUGCAGCGACGCCGCGUGAGGGAUGACGGCCUUCGGGUUGUAAACCUCUUUCAGCAGGGACGAAGCGUAAGUGACGGUACCUGCAGAAGAAGCACCGGCCAACUACGUGCCAGCAGGCGCGGUAAGACGUAGGGUGCGAGCGUUGUCCGGAUUUAUUGGGCGUAAAGAGCUCGUAGGCGGCUUGUCGCGUCGACUGUGAAAACCCGCAGCUCAACUGCGGGCCUGCAGUCGAUACGGGCAGGCUAGAGUUCGGUAGGGGAGACUGGAAUUCCUGGUGUAGCGGUGAAAUGCGCAGAUAUCAGGAGGAACACCGGUGGCGAAGGCGGGUCUCUGGGCCGAUACUGACGCUGAGGAGCGAAAGCGUGGGGAGCGAACAGGAUUAGAUACCCUGGUNGUCCACGCUGUAAACGUUGGGCGCUAGGUGUGGGGGGCCUCUCCGGUUCCCUGUGCCGCAGCUAACGCAUUAAGCGCCCCGCCUGGGGAGUACGGCCGC
rnacentral:rRNA from 1 species